GAAGCGACAUGUCUUUGCAAACGUAUGGGAGAGAAGUUUGGAUCCUCGUGGCGGAUGUCAUCCCAAUUCAUUUACGGAUACAUGGACGAUCGACUGGCGUCAGUGGCCACCGGACGUGCCAAGAAUUUCGCAGGGCGUCAAGAUUCCCAUCAACUUGGCUGUCAACUCAAGCCUUCGAGUUUUGGAGGCAACUCCUCUUAACUCGGGCAGCGUGGCCUUUUACCAGAGUCUCAAGGGUCUCUUCAACCCUUGUCAGACCUCCAGCCUCCAAGUCUCCCCACCCGCUCUCCUUUUCCUCAACAGUCGCAAGGGACAGUUCUACUCGGUGAAGCUCCAUCUGAAGAACGUGGACGUGGUGCCACACCGGGUCAAAAUAAUCCCACCCAAAAAUCAGUGUUUCAGCGUAGCAUGGACAAGCCACCGAACGUCCAUCGUUCCCGGUCUCGCCGUUCCCAUCCUCGUCCAGUACAAACCAGCCAGCAACGCCUCAGUCAAUGAGAUUCUCUAUAUCGUGGUCGAGGGGGCGGGCGGGCUGACAGUGCCUCUCAUUGCUUGCUCAGAGCCCCCACCAAUUUUGGAAUGUAAGGAAAUAUACACAUGGAUAAGUAUCAUAUAGCUUUGAGGACAAACCGUUUGUGAGAUUUGGUUUGUUUCUCCAGUUGAGGAGUGGGACUGUGGUUGCAGUGUCCUUCGUGUCGCCAGAACCACCAGCUUUGAAAUAAAGAAUGCUGGGAGUGAGGGACGCUUUUGGCUGCUCACAGAGGACGAGUUUCGA